rnacentral:tRNA from 1 species
GCCUGGGUCGCUCGGUCGGUUGGGCGUCAGACUUCGGCUGGGGUCAUGAUCUCACAGUUCGUGGGUUCAAGCCCCGCCUCGGGCU